rnacentral:tRNA from 1 species
GAAUUGAAAGCUAAAAUAUAAGCAGCGACCUUGUAAGUCGAAGAUAGAGUUAUCUCUCAAUUCU